UUUAGUAAAACUGAAAGAAUUUCCGAGCCUUUGGAAACAGGUCUAAGAAUGAUAUUGAAAAUUGGUUUUCAGUUUAAAAGGAUUUGGUUUUGGUUUAAGAAGUUUUGAAAUCAGUUCGGAAUGUUUGGAUAUAUGAUUUGGUUUUAGUUUUUAAUAAAGUUAAGAAAAUGAGUUAGGUUAUUCACCCCUAAAAUCGUGAGACUCUGCUGAGGAAUUUUAUGGCCAAAUCCUGAUUUAGAAAUGAAUGAUUUUAAGUC